UCCGAAUUGGUGUAGUGGCUAACAUUUGGUGCUCUCACCUUCAGAUGUGUGUAAACUACUAUCUGGAGUGAUCCGCCAAGCCCGGGGUUCGAUUCCCCGAUUCGGAG